rnacentral:rRNA from 1 species
UGCGGAGGGUGCAAGCGUUAUCCGGAUUCACUGGGUUUAAAGGGUGCGUAGGCGGGUAAGUAAGUCCGUGGUGAAAUCUCUGAGCUUAACUCAGAAACUGCCGUGGAUACUAUUUGCCUUGAAUAUUGUGGAGGUGAGCGGAAUAUGUCAUGUAGCGGUGAAAUGCUUAGAUAUGACAUAGAACACCAAUUGCGAAGGCAGCUCACCACACAAUCAUUGACGCUGAGGCACGAAAGCGUGGGGAUCAAACAGG